AUUGAACGCUGGCGGCAUGCUUUACACAUGCAAGUCGAACGGUAACAGGCCGCAAGGUGCUGACGAGUGGCGGACGGGGGCGUAAUGCAUCGGAACGUGCCCAGUCGUGGGGGUUAACUACUCGAAAGAGUAGCUAAUACCGCAUACGAUCUAUGGAUGAAAGCGGGGGACCGCAAGGCCUCGCGCGAUUUGAGCGGCCGAUGUCAGAUUAGGUAGUUGGUGGGGUAAAGGCUCACCAAGCCAACGAUCGGUAGCUGGUCUGAGAGGACAACCAGCCACACUGGAACUGAGACACGGCCCAGACUCCUACGGGAGGCAGCAGUGGGGAAUUUUGGACAAUGGGCGCAAGCCUGAUCCAGCAAUGCCGCGUGCAGGAAGAAGGCCUUCGGGUUGUAAACUGCUUUUGUACGGAAAGAAACGGCUCUGGUUAAUACCCGGGGGUAAUGACGGUACCGAAAGAAUAAGCACCGGCUAACUACGCG
rnacentral:rRNA from 1 species